UUUUAGUGCCUUUAUAAAUUUUAUUCAGUUUUAUUUUUAAUAAUUUUUAACUUAUCAACUAACAUAAAAUAAAAAAUUUAAAAUUAAUUUAUCUCUAAUAGAUAGGUCGAAAUCAAUUAAAUUUUUUAUAAUCCUCUUCAAUUUUUCUACCAUAUUAUAUGAUUAUAACAAAAUAAAAUUAAUUAUUUUUAAAAAUUACAAAUUCUAAAUUUUAAUUUUUAAUUUUUUAAAUUUUAAAUUUUGAUAUUUUAAAUUUUUAAAUUGAGAUUUAAUUUUCAACAUAAAAUUUAAAAUAACUACCCGUUAUUCUUCUUAUUCCAUCUUAUCUAUUUAAACAUUAUUUUUCUUAUUUUUGAAAAACUACUCAAUUUUUAUCCAAAUACAAAAUUAAUCUAUUUUAGGCUUAUAUCUAAACAUAUAACCUAUAUUUAUACAUAUUCCUAAAAUAGGAGUCCGGCUACUACCCUCUUAAGAGGAUAUGAGCAUUUGUCCUAUCAAGUCAUUUUGGAUGAUUGGGACUUCAAAUUGAUAAUUGGCACCAUUGAAGUUGAUCAACACGAUUAGAAAUAUUUAGAAACCGAAUUUUAUAAUUUUUAAAAAUCAUUACCCAAUCCAUCGAAAAGUCAAAAAAUGAACGGUCAAAAAUAAAUGACCUUCUGAAAACAGAGGUUAAACUUUCUCAAUUUAUGAUCGGAGUUUUUAAACAUUAUUUAAAUAGUAUAAAGUAUUUUCUAUCAAAAAUUCAACUGGUUUGGAUUAUUCUACACCAUUAAACAAGCAAACGGCUCAUAUAGACCGUCAAAAACUGUCAAUUUUGCAAUCUUUUGAUUACUAUAUAAAUAAAAUUUAAAAUUUAUAAAAUUUAGUUCUUAGAUAAUUCAAAUACUCGAGAUCAAUUUUAACGGUUCCGAUCACUAAUUCAGGAUCUCUAUCAUCAAAAACAAUUUGAUAGGACGAAGGUCCCUAUCCUCCUAAAAGGAUAGCAACUGGAUUUCCUAAACUAGAUAAUUUUUAUUUAGAGAUAAUUGUCUAUAUACCCCUCAUACGUUUGAAAAUAUCCGAUUUACUCCUACUUUUUUUUUCUUUCUAAAAUACCCCUCAUAUGUUCCAACGUUAUUGCAAAAUAUCCUGACAGUUAUCUCCUGUUAAGUUAAUUUGGGUUAAACCUGAGUUAAAUAUCUAACACAGUUAAAAAAAAUUAAAAUGUCAAUUUUGCCCUUAACUUAAGGGCAAAUAAAAAAUGUUUGUGACUGUAUAUGGAUAUAUUUGAGAAGACCAAAAGUCAAAAUAUUUUUUGUGGCCCUGAUUUUAAGGGCAAAUAAGAAAGUCGGUGAUGGUGUAAGGGCAUAUUUGAAAGGGUCAAAUAGUAAUUUUACAGAAAUAAUAGAGUUUAUUAACAGAUUUUAACUAUAGUGUAUAUUAGAAAUAUAUUGAAACGUAAAAACGUUAUUUUCAAUAUUAGCCUUCUAAGAAAGAUAAAUCGGAAAGUCAAAAAUUUUUCACAAGAAUAUAAGCAAUUGCCCCUUUUAUUUAUAUCCGAACCAAAUGAAGCCCCCGUA
rnacentral:lncRNA from 1 species